UGGUGGUGUGAAUUGUCUGGUUAAUUCCGUUAACGAACGAGACCUCGACUUACUAAAUAAUUCGGAUCAUUUCCUUUGUGGAAUGGUUGAUGCUUUCGGGUGUCGGUGCGAAUUUCUUAGAAGGACUAUUGGCGCGUAGCCAGUGGAAGUUCGAGGCAAUAACA
rnacentral:rRNA from 1 species